AUGGCUCAGGAUGAACGCUGGCGGCGUGCCUAACACAUGCAAGUCGAACGGAACUUUACGGACAAGACUCGGUCAAGUCUGUUCAAGUUAGUGGCGGACGGGUGAGUAACGCGUGAGCAACCUGCCUUUCAGAGGGGGAUAACGUUCGGAAACGAUCGCUAAUACCGCAUAACAUAGGGAUAUCGCAUGGUAACCCUAUCAAAGAUUUUAUCGCUGAAAGAUGGGCUCGCGUCCGAUUAGGUAGUUGGUGAGGUAACGGCCCACCAAGCCGACGAUCGGUAGCCGGACUGAGAGGUUGAACGGCCACAUUGGGACUGAGACACGGCCCAGACUCCUACGGGAGGCAGCAGUGGGGAAUAUUGCACAAUGGGCGCAAGCCUGAUUGCAGCAACGCCGCGUGAGGGAAGACGGUUUUCGGAUUGUAAACCUCUGUUCUUAGUGACGAAGAAGUGACGGUAGCUAAGGAGCAAGCCACGGCUAACUACGUGCCAGCAGCGGC
rnacentral:rRNA from 1 species